ensembl:misc_RNA 7SK 7SK RNA
GGAUGUGAGGGUGAUCUGGCUGUGGCAUGUCACCCCAUUGAUCGCCAGGGUUGAUUCCACUGAUCUGGCUGGCUAAGCAGAUGCCCCCUUCCUCCCUCACUGCUCCAUGUGUGUCCCUCCCAAAGCUGUGUGCUUGGUCAAAGAGGACGGCCUUCCCCGAAUAGAGACGGACCAGUCUUCGGUUGAGGGUAUACGAAUAGUUGCACUCCCCUGCUAGAACCUCCAAACAAGCUCUCAAGGAAACUCAGGGAAUAGUGAUUCCAAUACCCCUAAGAGGUGAUAGAAUGAGUGUUUUCAGGCCAAGUACU